AAUAAAGUAGAACGAGGAACGAUGGACUUCGUUCGAAGAUAGGAGGACCACCUUCUAAGCCAAAACACAUGUGCAUGACCGAUAGUGGACAAGUACCGUGAGGGAAAGGUGAAACAGAGCCCUGAAUAGGGCAGUGAAACAGAUCCUGAAACCGGAUGUUGAUGAUCAGUCGGAGGGUCCGAAGACCUGACGACGUACCUUUUGUAUAAUGGGUCAACGAGUUGACCAGUUGCAAGCAAAGCUUGAAGCGAAGUGAAAGCAAGAACAACGGAAUAACAGGUUUGCAACGUCAAACCCGAAACCGAGUGAUCUAACCAUGGACAGAUUGAACGCCGAUGAAUCGGCCGAAGGAUCGAACUCGUGUGUGUUGCAAAACACUGAGAUGAUCUGUGGUUAGGGGUGAAAGGCCAAUCAAACUCGGAGAUAGCUGGUUCUCUGCGAAACCUAUUUAGGUAGGUUGUUGAUUGUAUCACGACAAUGGUAGAGCACUGGACAGACAAUUGGAAUGCAUAAUUCCAUUGAGUCCGACCAAACUCCGAAUACUGUCGUUGGAUUUUAAUCAACGAACACACUGUGAGCGAUAACGUCCGCAGUGGAAAGGGAAACAACCCAGACCUUGGACCAAGGUCCUUAAAUCCGAACUAAGUGAGGAAAGCAAUGAACGUUCGAAGACGAUCAGAAUGUUGGCUUAGAAGCAGUCAUCAUCUAAGGAAAGCGUAACAGCUCACUGAUUAAUGCAUGUUCAUGCUGAAAAUGUAACGGGACUAAGUUCGGUACCGAAGCCAAGGGCAUUGCCAGUCGAGCAAUGCGGUAGCAGAGCGUUCUGUAGACCAAAGAAGGUGUUCCGUAAGGAACAUUGGAGGUAUCAGAAGUGAGAAUGUUGACAUGAGUAACGAUAAUGAAAGCGAGAAUCUUUCACGCCGAAAGACCAAGGUUUCCCAUUCAAGAUGUUCCGAAUGGGGUAAGCCGGACCCUUAGGCCAAGCGGAAACGCAUAACCGAUGGCAAUCACGUUAACAUUCGUGAGCCUUCUAUGAGCAACCUAGCUUGAACCUUGUCAAGCCUUAUUGGAUUGGCUGGGCUAGCGUUCCAAUGCUAGCAGGAAAGAGCCAUAGACAUAAAGUCCGUACCUCAAACCGACACAGGUGGUCAGGUAGAACAUACCAAGGCGUUUGAGACAAUUGUGCUGAAGGAACUCGGCAAAAUGCAUGCAUAACUUCGGGAUAAGCAUGCCCCGAUCAUGGGCAACCAUGGGAGGGGUAAACACAAAUGGAGGAAGCGACUGUUUACCAAAAACACAGGACUCUGCCAAAUCGUAAGAUGAAGUAUAGAGUCUGAUGCCUGCCCGGUGCUGGCAAGCAAAACCCAGAUGUUUCAAAUGCAUCUGGACAAACACCAGUAAACGGCGGCCGUAACUAUAACGGUCCAAAGGUAGCGAAAUCCCUUGUCGGGUAAGUUCCGACCAGCAUGAAUGGCAUAACGACUUCCUCGCUGUCUCCAGCACAAGCUCAGUGAAAUUGAAAUCCCCGUGAAGAUGCGGGGUACCUACGGCAAGACGGAAAGACCCCGUGCACCUUUACUACAACCUUGCAUCGAUCUACUUUGAUCGAAUGUACAGAGUAGGUGGUAAACGAUGAACAACGGGUACAAGCCCGUUGCAAGUUGCCAAUGAAACACCAUCCAUUCGUCAAACAACAUCUCAUUGCUGAUAGCCAAUCUUGGUGCAAGACAAUACAAGGUGGGUAGUUUGACUGGGACGGUCGCCUCCCAAAGAGUAACGGAGGCGAGCAUAAGGUAGGCUCAUGGCGGUUGGAAACCGUCAACAGAGUUCAAUGGCAUAUGCCUGCCAAGACUGCGAGGCAGACAUGUCGAGCAGAGACGAAAGUCGGUCAUAGUGAUCCAAUGGCAUCCAAGUGGAAGGACCAUUGCUCAACGGAUAAAGGUACGCCGGGGAUAACAGGCUAAUAACUCCUGAGAGUUCUAAUCGAUGGGGUUGUUUGGCACCUCGAUGUCGACUCAUCGCAUCCUGGGACAGAACAAGGUCCCAAGGGUAUGGCUGUUCGCCAUUUAAAGCGGUACGUGAGUUGGGUUCAGAACGUCGCAAGACAGUUCGGUCCCUAUCUGCCGUAGGAGUAAGAAUGUUGAUGGGAGCUGUCUCCAGUACGAGAGGACCGAGAUGGACAUACCUCUGGUGUUCCUGUUGGCCAGACCAAGGCCAUGGCAGGUUGGCUAAGUAUGGAAUGGAUAACUGCUGAAAGCAUCAAGCAGGAAGCCAACCCAAACAAACAUUCUAUUAAGAGGGGUGAUAGACCAUCACCUUGAUAGACCAGAUGUGUAAGCAUGGCAACAUGCUCAGCUAACUGGUACUAACACCUCGAAACAAGGUAGAAU
rnacentral:rRNA from 1 species